UUCAUUCUUCCCCAAAGUACAGUACUUUACAAUCCGAAGACCUUCAUCAUACACGCGGCGUUGCUCCGUCACACUUUCUUCCAUUGCGAAAGAUUCCCCACUGCUGCCUCCCCUAC
rnacentral:rRNA from 1 species